CUGUCGCUGUGUGAGCAUCUACACUUUAUACACUGGGGUACUGGGGAGAGUGGGAUAGUUCGGGCACUGUGAGCCAGAUCCAAAGCACGAGUGCCUCCCAUUGCCUGGGAAUGCAGAGUAGCGCCAGGCAGCAGUGGAACCCUGGGGCGCCAGGGUUCCGCCCACAAUGGCUUAACGUGUCAUCACUGUAUGUUGGCGGGGUCGUGUAAGCACUUAAGCCUGCACCCUGAAGGCCAAGGCUGUGAGGGGAGGUCCUGUCACCACGCUGCGUGGGAAGGGUAUGCAGCCUUCAUCCCCACAUAGGCCCACUCCACAAGGACCCCAAUGAAGGAGGCUCGUGUUGACGGCGAGCCAGAAGGGGGCCCUGCAGGCAUUCUUCCAGGAGAACCCUUACCUUGGCAUCUCUGCCAGAGAACACCUGGACCGGGAGCUGGCCAUCACCGAGUCCAGAAUCCAGGUAGGCAGCCCCAGUGCUUCUCUCCUGGUCUCCAUGGGUGGAGGCAUGCACACACACGUGACUAGCCCAUCGCCCGUCCUUCUGCGUGGUCAGCUGGGGAGCUCAGAACCUAUGGCCUGGGGAUGUGCGGGCCCUAGGAGCCCUUGCUCUUGGAGGUCCUUCCGAGGCCUUCACUCUCAGGACGAGGGAACACUGGGGCCCAAGGCCUGAGGCCUGACGACAGGUCCAUGCCCAUGAGCUGCCUGUCCCCAGAGAUCCUGUGUCCUGGCCAAUCGUUUUUCCCCAAUAAAACACUGUGAGUCCUACUAUACGGGAGGGGAAGAGACACAUUGAGACACACAGGUUCCCAUCCAUGACGACACUUUUGUCUUUUGCCUCCAGUGGAGAGGAAGGUUGUACAUGGGUCCAUUUGUGAGGAGAAUGACACCCGUUUCCAGUGUCUUCUCGGGUCAGUCAAAAUCUCCUCAGCACCCUACAAGUGACUGCAGCAGGAACUCCAUUGUCUGCCCAUGCCGACGAACAAAGAAGAAAUGACUCUUGUCCCCACACCGUCUGUUGUGUGUUUCGCAACAGCUCCCGCUCCUUGGGUCUGUUUCCAAAACCAGCGAACAAGACAGCUAAGGCAGAGCCACCAACUGGGCUCCACAAUUCCCCAAGGAGAAGGACCACAGCCUGGAAAGGAACAGCGUGAACAGGACAGUCACCUCCAGGUGACUCCUCAGUAUCCAAGAAGGGUCUCUUCCUGAGCUGCUACUUGACACAGGAAUGUGUCUCUGUGUGCUUACCAGGCAGUAGCAAAACCUGAGGAAGGGCACCAAGCUCUUCCCUCAGGCUAGAGCCACCCUAGUGACCUAGGAUGGCGAUGUUGUGCCUGCCAUUCCUGGACAGGCGGCAGGCGAGCAAUUCUGGGCCCCGAGGGAUCUGGGUCUUCCUGUCUUAAACCUGCUAGCCAGGACUACAGGCCUCUUCUUCCAUCAACACAACAUUGUUAUCCAAACACUGGCUUCUGGGGGUAGGUACAGGCUCUGGCUCCUUGGCCUCAGGGAAUGAGUGGUUAUGAAGACAGAGAACAUGGAGAAAAGCUCACACACACAGACAGACAGACACACACACACAGAGGAAGUCACACGCCAUCACACACACCCUGACACCCACUUCUGUCUCCACAC
rnacentral:lncRNA from 1 species